GACGAACGCUGGCGGCAGGCCUAACACAUGCAAGUCGAACGAGUGGCGGACGGGUGAGUAAUGUCUGGGAAACUGCCUGAUGGAGGGGGAUAACUACUGGAAACGGUAGCUAAUACCGCAUACCAUCAGAUGGGCCCAGAUGGGAGUGGCUUGUUGGUGGGGUAAGGGCUCACCAAGGCGACGAUCCCUAGCUGGUCUGAGAGGAUGACCAGCCACACUGGAACUGGGGGACGGUGAGGACUCCUAGGGGAGGCAGCAGUGGGGAAUAUUGCACAAUGGGCGCAAGCCUGAUGCAGCCAUGCCGCGUGUAUGAAGAGGGCCUUCGGGUUGUAAAGUACUUACAGCGGGGAGGCGUUACCCGCAGAAGAAGCACCGGCUAACUCCGUGCCAGCAGCCGCGGUAAUAC
rnacentral:rRNA from 1 species